rnacentral:rRNA from 1 species
CAGUCGCCGCGGUAAUACGAAGGGGGCUAGCGUUGCUCGGAAUGACUUGGCGUAAAGGGCGCGUAGGCGGCAUGUACAGUCAGACGUGAAAUUCCUGGGCUUAACCUGGGGGCUGCGUUUGAUACGUGCAGGCUAGAGUGGGGAAGAGGGUUGUGGAAUUCCCAGUGUAGAGGUGAAAUUCGUAGAUAUUGGGAAGAACACCGGUGGCGAAGGCGGCAACCUGGUCCUUGACUGACGCUGAGGCGCGAAAGCGUGGGGAGCAAACAGGAUUAGAUACCCCCGUAGUCCCUGUCUCUUAUAC